rnacentral:rRNA from 1 species
UACGGGGGGGGCAAGCGUUGUUCGGAAUUACUGGGCGUAAAGGGCUGGUAGGCGGCCAACUAAGUCGGAUGUGAAAUCCCCAGGCUUAACCUGGGAACUGCAUCCGAUACUGGUCGGCUUGAAUCCGGGAGAGGGAUGCAGAAUUCCAGGUGUAGCGGUGGAAUGCGUAGAGAUCCGGAGGAACACCAGCGGCGAAGGCGGCAUCCUGGACUGGUCCUGACACUCAUGAGCGAAAGCGUGGGGAGCGAUCCGG